rnacentral:rRNA from 1 species
UUAACGGCCGCAGUUGUCCUGUGCUAAGGUAGCAUAAUGAUUAGCUCUUUAAUUGGGGGAAAGUAUGAAUGGUUUGACGUGGAGAUACUGUCUUAAAUAUAAUAAAUAGAAAUUUUUUUUCAAGUGAAAAAACCUGAAUUUUUGUAAAAGAAGAGAAGACCCUAUCGAACUGAAUUAGAAAGUUAAUAAUUGAAAGUCAGUUAUUAUUCUUUUGAAUUUUUGUUGGGGUAACAAUGGACUCAAUAGAGCGUCUCUUUAUUAUAUAAGAAUCCUAUUUGAUAGGAAAGAUCAACAGUUACCGUAGGGAUAACAGCCUAAUAUCUUUCUGAGAGGUCUUAUUGAGGGGAGGGUGUGCGACCUCGAUGUUGGAUUAAAGAAA